rnacentral:rRNA from 1 species
ACUGCGAAGGGGGGACGGAGAAGGCUAUGUUGGCCGGGCGACGGUUGUCCCGGUUUAAGCGUGUAGGCUGGUUUUCCAGGCAAAUCCGGAAAAUCAAGGCUGAGGCGUGAUGACGAGGCACUACGGUGCUGAAGCAACAAAUGCCCUGCUUCCAGGAAAAGCCUCUAAGCAUCAGGUAACAUCAAAUCGUACCCCAAACCGACACAGGUGGUCAGGUAGAGAAUACCAAGGCGCUUGAGAGAACUCGGGUGAAGGAACUAGGCAAAAUGGUGCCGUAACUUCGGGAGAAGGCACGCUGAUAUGUAGGUGAAGUCCCUCGCGGAUGGAGCUGAAAUCAGUCGAAGAUACCAGCUGGCUGCAACUGUUUAUUAAAAACACAGCACUGUGCAAACACGAAAGUGGACGUAUACGGUGUGACGCCUGCCCGGUGCCGGAAGGUUAAUUGAUGGGGUUAGCGCAAGCGAAGCUCUUGAUCGAAGCCCCGGUAAACGGCGGCCGUAACUAUAACGGUCCUAAGGUAGCGAAAUUCCUUGUCGGGUAAGUUCCGACCUGCACGAAUGGCGUAAUGAUGGCCAGGCUGUCUCCACCCGAGACUCAGUGAAAUUGAACUCGCUGUGAAGAUGCAGUGUACCCGCGGCAAGACGGAAAGACCCCGUGAACCUUUACUAUAGCUUGACACUGAACAUUGAGCCUUGAUGUGUAGGAUAGGUGGGAGGCUUUGAAGUGUGGACGCCAGUCUGCAUGGAGCCGACCUUGAAAUACCACCCUUUAAUGUUUGAUGUUCUAACGUUGACCCGUGAUCCGGGUUGCGGACAGUGUCUGGUGGGUAGUUUGACUGGGGCGGUCUCCUCCUAAAGAGUAACGGAGGAGCACGAAGGUUGGCUAAUCCUGGUCGGACAUCAGGAGGUUAGUGCAAUGGCAUAAGCCAGCUUGACUGCGAGCGUGACGGCGCGAGCAGGUGCGAAAGCAGGUCAUAGUGAUCCGGUGGUUCUGAAUGGAAGGGCCAUCGCUCAACGGAUAAAAGGUACUCCGGGGAUAACAGGCUGAUACCGCCCAAGAGUUCAUAUCGACGGCGGUGUUUGGCACCUCGAUGUCGGCUCAUCACAUCCUGGGGCUGAAGUAGGUCCCAAGGGUAUGGCUGUUCGCCAUUUAAAGUGGUACGCGAGCUGGGUUUAGAACGUCGUGAGACAGUUCGGUCCCUAUCUGCCGUGGGCGCUGGAGAAUUGAGGGGGGCUGCUCCUAGUACGAGAGGACCGGAGUGGACGCAUCACUGGUGUUCGGGUUGUCAUGCCAAUGGCACUGCCCGGUAGCUAAAUGCGGAAGAGAUAAGUGCUGAAAGCAUCUAAGCACGAAACUUGCCCCGAGAUGAGUUCUCCCUGACUCCUUGAGAGUCCUGAAGGAACGUUGAAGACGACGACGUUGAUAGGCCGGGUGUGUAAGCGCAGCGAUGCGUUGAGCUAACCGGUACUAAUGAACCGUGAGGCUUAACCUUACAACGCCGAAGGUGUUU